GAGAAACUAAAAGGAGGCAAAUAUAAAGGAAAGCGAUGAUGGCACUCGCACGCACACAAACGCAGACACGCCUUAUGGUUUUGAGUGUGGGUGUACACACAACGGCGGAGGAAAGAGCGCGGCUUAUGUGUGUAGUAUGUGUGUGCUGUGUGAGCGUCUAUUUAUGGGUGUGUGUGUGUACGUGCCGGAGAGGCAACGCAAAGAGCAGCGUGCGAUUGCAUCGGCAUUUUCAUUCAAGCCACUCGCUACUGCGUGUGUUUGUGUGUGUGCAAGAGCGUAAGAUAUUUAUGCGUGUGUGCGCUGCGCUUCACAUUUAACUUUAGCGCUGAUUCCGUUUUCGACUUCUAGUGAGCGCACGUUCGCUCUGGUGUGGGCUGCUGUCGACGUCGCGGCGUACGCUCUCACUCUCGCUCUCCCUCUCUCUCUUGCAGUGUCGGUGGUGGGUUUCGUGUAUUUGUUUGGACUUUGUCGUUAACGGUUCGUUCUCCCGUUCGCUCGUUCGUUCGUUGUGUUUUUUGCGGUUUGCUUUUGAAUACCAAAUAAAAAAUAAAUAAAAUAAUUGUUUAAAUAAAAAAUAUUAUUAAUGAAACAUAACGGUUGAACCGAAACUCUUAAAUAUAACACGCGU